rnacentral:lncRNA from 1 species
CAGUUUGUGGUUUUAUAUGCUUCUAACUAAUCAUUGUUCAUUAUACCAAGAGAAUCAGAUUUCCAACUAUGGUUUGAUGUCAUUGUGUAUAUACAGGACGUCCACAGGUGCCUGGAAAGCCAUAAAGAAAAAGAAGGAAACCAGCCAAGACUAAAGUUUCACAGAUCCAGAUGUGGCUGCUGCUGCUGUUUGGGAAAAAAAAAAUAACACAUUUUAGACCUUGGCAUUUCAGCAUUACAGCUGGCAAGUAAUAAGAGAGAAUGAAGUCUGUGUGCGUGCAUGCGUGCGUGCAUGCUCCUUUUGUGGCAGAAAAGGGGGAAAUGGAAGGCAGGAAAGUCCAAUCUGCUGGAGUAAAAUAGAAAUGUGGAUGAGAGCCUGUUCAACCCCACUGGCAAUGAGUGCCCAUCACUGGAUACACCACCAAUGAAAAGAGAUGUUCUUAAUUCUACGAAGUCUUGGACAGUAGUCUGCAGAAAUCUAAAUGGCAAGACAAGUUAACAUCUGUUCAUUCUUUACUAUAAGUCUACACUUACAGGAUAAAAUUGAGAAAAGACAAUUUAAAAUCAUCCUAAUCUGAAGAAGCUAAUCCUUGUUUUCUUUCAGUGGCAAUUUAGUGUGGUAGUUAAAAGAACAUAGCUUUAACAUGUGGCUGUGACGUCAAUCCAAGGCACUGAUAAAUUGAAAUAUAUGUGUGUGUAUACACACACACACACACACACACACGUAUGUAUAAAUCUGUGCUUUAUUUAAAAAGCAUAGAAGAAAAAAUAAUUUAUUUUUUAGUUCUUACCCCAGAGUAAAUAUUUACAGUUCUUGACUAUAUUAAAACAUUGAGUACCUUUAUUAAGUUUACUAUACUGAAAUAUGUUAUUAUUUACAUGUCUUGACUCCCUACAUACAUAUUAUCAAGGUAAUGACUUAACAUUUCAGAGUUAUGAAUCAUUUUAUCAUUUAGGAUAAGAAAGAGAAAUAAUGCAAUCUCAUUCUAUAAAAAGUCAUGAUUCCAGCUAAGACUGGUAUCUUUAAUAAUAUAUCAGGACUUGAU